rnacentral:rRNA from 1 species
UACGAAGGGGGGCUAGCGUUGCUCGGAAUCACUGGGCGUAAAGGGCGCGUAGGCGGCCUGAUAAGUCGGGGGUGAAAGCCUGUGGCUCAACCACAGAAUUGCCUUCGAUACUGUUAGGCUUGAGUAUGGUAGAGGUUGGUGGAACUGCGAGUGUAGAGGUGAAAUUCGUAGAUAUUCGCAAGAACACCGGUGGCGAAGGCGGCGACCUGGUCCUUGACUGACGCUGAGGCGCGAAAGCGUGGGGAGCAAACAGG